rnacentral:tRNA from 1 species
GCCGAGGUGGCAGAGCCAGGUCAAACGCGUCAGACUCGAGAUCUGAUUGUGCCCCGCACAGCUAGGGUUCAAAUCCCUACCUCGGCGCCA